rnacentral:rRNA from 1 species
AUGAACGCUAGCUACAGGCUUAACACAUGCAAGUCGAGGGGCAGCAUCAUCAAAGCUUGCUUUGAUGGAUGGCGACCGGCGCACGGGUGAGUAACACGUAUCCAACCUGCCGACAACACUGGGAUAGCCUUUCGAAAGAAAGAUUAAUACCGGAUGGCAUAGUUUUCCCGCAUGGGAUAAUUAUUAAAGAAUUUCGGUUGUCGAUGGGGAUGCGUUCCAUUAGGCAGUUGGCGGGGUAACGGCCCACCAAACCAACGAUGGAUAGGGGUUCUGAGAGGAAGGUCCCCCACAUUGGAACUGAGACACGGUCCAAACUCCUACGGGAGGCAGCAGUGAGGAAUAUUGGUCAAUGGACGAGAGUCUGAACCAGCCAAGUAGCGUGAAGGAUGACUGCCCUAUGGGUUGUAAACUUCUUUUAUACGGGAAUAAAGUGAGCCACGUGUGGCUUUUUGUAUGUACCGUAUGAAUAAGGAUCGGCUAACUCCGUGCCAGCAGCCGCGGUAAUACGGAGGAUCCGAGCGUUAUCCGGAUUUAUUGGGUUUAAAGGGAGCGUAGGCGGGUUGUUAAGUCAGUUGUGAAAGUUUGCGGCUCAACCGUAAAAUUGCAGUUGAUACUGGCGACCUUGAGUGCAACAGAGGUAGGCGGAAUUCGUGGUGUAGCGGUGAAAUGCUUAGAUAUCACGAAGAACUCCGAUUGCGAAGGCAGCUUACUGGAUUGUAACUGACGCUGAUGCUCGAAAGUGUGGGUAUCAAACAGGAUUAGAUACCCUGGUAGUCCACACAGUAAACGAUGAAUACUCGCUGUUGGCGAUAUACGGUCAGCGGCCAAGCGAAAGCAUUAAGUAUUCCACCUGGGGAGUACGCCGGCAACGGUGAAACUCAAAGGAAUUGACGGGGACCCGCACAAGCGGUGGAGCAUGUGGUUUAAUUCGAAGCAACGCGAAGAACCUUACCAAGUCUUGACAUCCUUCUGACCGGUACUUAACCGUACCUUCUCUUCGGAGCAGGAGUGACAGGUGGUGCAUGGUUGUCGUCAGCUCGUGUCGUGAGAUGUUGGGUUAAGUCCCGCAACGAGCGCAACCCUUAUCUUUAGUAGCCAGCGGUUAGGCCGGGCACUCUAGAGAGACUGCCAGGGAUAACCUGGAGGAAGGUGGGGAUGACGUCAAAUCAUCAUGCCCCUUAUGACUUGGGCUACACACGUGCUACAAUGGCGUAAACAAAGGGAAGCGAGCCUGCGAGGGGGAGCAAAUCUCAAAAAUAACGUCUCAGUUCGGACUGCAGUCUGCAACUCGACUGCACGAAGCUGGAAUCGCUAGUAAUCGCGAAUCAGAAUGUCGCGGUGAAUACGUUCCCGGGUCUUGUACACACCGCCCGUCACACCAUGGGAGUCAGUAACGCCCGAAGUCAGUGACCCAACCGCAAGGAGGGAGCUGCCGAAGGCGGGACCGAUAACUGGGGUG